rnacentral:rRNA from 1 species
UACGGGGGGGGCAAGCGUUGUUCGGAAUUACUGGGCGUAAAGGGCUCGUAGGUGGCCAACUAAGUCAUGCGUGAAAUCCCUCGGCUUAACCGGGGAACUGCGUCUGAUACUGGAUGGCUAGAGGUUGGGAGAGGGAUGCGGAAUUCCAGGUGUAGCGGUGAAAUGCGUAGAUAUCUGGAGGAACACCGGUGGCGAAGGCGGCAUCCUGGACCAAUUCUGACGCUGAGGAGCGAAAGCCAGGGGAGCAAACGGG